rnacentral:rRNA from 1 species
GAUGAACGCUGGCGGCGUGCUUAACACAUGCAAGUCGAACGGAGAAACGGUAGCUUGCUAUCUUUUCUUAGUGGCGGACGGGUGAGUAACGCGUGGGUAACCUACCCUUUGCAGGGGGAUAACAGCGAGAAAUCGCUGCUAAUACCGCAUAACAAAGAACAUUCGCAUGGAAGUUCUUUAAAGAUUUAUCGGCAAAGGAUGGACCCGCGUUGGAUUAGCUAGUUGGUGAGAUAACAGCCCACCAAGGCAACGAUCCAUAGCCGGCCUGAGAGGGUGAACGGCCACACUGGGACUGAGACACGGCCCAGACUCCUACGGGAGGCAGCAGUGGGGAAUAUUGCACAAUGGCGAAAGCCUGAUGCAGCGACGCCGCGUGAAGGAUGAAGGUCUUCGGAUUGUAAACUUCUAUCAGCAGGGAAGAAAGGGCUUAUAGCCUAUGACGGUACCUGACUAAGAAGCCCCGGCUAACUACGUGCCAGCAGCCGCGGUAAAAGUC